GGGCCGGUAGCUCAGUUGGGAGAGCGCCAGAAUCGCACUCUGGAGGUCGGGAGUUCGAAUCUCCUCCGGUCCACCA
rnacentral:tRNA from 1 species